rnacentral:piRNA from 1 species
ACCGUGAGCCUCAGACCAUGCUGUGUCCUGU